rnacentral:tRNA from 1 species
GCGUUAUCGUUUGAAACUAUAAAACCACAUCACUUCUAAGGAUGUGGUCAUUGGUUCGAAUCCAAUAGGGCGUGCCA